AGCGAACGCUGGCGGCAGGCCUAACACAUGCAAGUCGAACGAACUCUUCGGAGUUAGUGGCGGACGGGUGAGUAACACGUGGGAACGUGCCUUUAGGUUCGGAAUAACUCAGGGAAACUUGUGCUAAUACCGAAUGUGCCCUUCGGGGGAAAGAUUUAUCGCCUUUAGAGCGGCCCGCGUCUGAUUAGCUAGUUGGUGAGGUAAAGGCUCACCAAGGCGACGAUCAGUAGCUGGUCUGAGAGGAUGAUCAGCCACAUUGGGACUGAGACACGGCCCAAACUCCUCGGGGAGGCGGGAGGGGGGAAUCUUGGGCAAUGGGGGAAAGCCUGAGGCGGCCAUGCCGGGUAAAAUAUGAAGGUCUUGGGAUUGUAAAAUUCUUUCCCCGGGGACGAUAAUGGCGGUACCCGGGGAAGAAGCCCCGGCUAAUUUCGG
rnacentral:rRNA from 1 species